UGGGGAAUUUUGGACAAUGGGCGAAAGCCUGAUCCAGCAAUGCCGCGUGUGUGAAGAAGGCCUUCGGGUUGUAAAGCACUUUUGUCCGGAAAGAAAUCCUCUGGGUUAAUACCUCGGGGGGUAUGACGGUACCGGAAGAAUAAGCACCGGCUAACUACGUGCCAGCAGCCGCGGUAAUACGUAGGGUGCAAGCGUUAAUCGGAAUUACUGGGCGUAAAGCGUGCGCAGGCGGUUUUGUAAGACGGAUGUGAAAUCCCCGGGCUUAACCUGGGAACUGCAUUCGUGACUGCAAGGCUAGAGUAUGGCAGAGGGGGGUUAGAAUUCCACGUGUAGCAGUGAAAUGCGUAGAGAUGUGGAGGAAUACCGAUGGCGAAGGCAGCCCCCUGGGCCAAUACUGACGCUCAUGCACGAAAGCGUGGGGAGCAAACAGGAUUCAGAUACCCUGGUAGUCCACGCCCUAAACGAUGUCAACUAGUUGUUGGGGAUUCAUUUCCUUAGUAACGUAGCUAACGCGUGAAGUUGACCGCCUGGGGAGUACGGUCGCAAGAUU
rnacentral:rRNA from 1 species